rnacentral:lncRNA from 1 species
CAGGUAGAUGAAACUCAAGAGAAAAGGUGUGGAUAAAUGAAACUAGCCCAUGAUGAACCUGUUUUCUCCGUGACCACAAUAUUAACCAGGAUGAAUGGCGGUGGCAGUGGGCCUGCAUCACAGGUUGCAGCAGAUGUUCUCAAUAUUUCUAUUAAAAUUUCCUUAUUUCCAUAUGCAAGAGGAGCCCCAGAGCUGCAUCCUUAUGGUAGCUACCAUGCCGUGAUGUAAGCUGCCAUUCACUGGGGAGCUUUGGCAAUAGAAUUGGCUAGAUCAGGAAGCCUAUGUCAACUAUGGAACAACAACUUGCAGCUCAUCUCUAUUGAUGGACCUCUAACAAUGAUAUUGGAAGAAUAGAUACUAAGUCUUGGAGAGGUGAAACAGUCGCAAAUGGAAUUCCAAGAAACAUUCUAUAUACACUGCCUCUAGGACUGGGACAGAUAGCCACUGAGUACCUGCUUCAAAUCACCCUGCACGUUUUCUCUUUGGAAAGAUAAGCACUGGAGAACCAUCUCGUUACCUUCAGCAGAAAUGGAAACAAAUCAAGACAUUAAGAAUGCCGCAGUGGACAGCAGUUAUGCAAGGUUCAGCAGAGGAAGUUUUCAAGAUGGUGUGCCUCACUAGCCAGAAAUCAGAAAAGAUCGAAGCUAGCCUUUUCAUCUCAGCUGCUCCUUAAAUCAGUGCAACCCCUCCAAAUUAAUGUGAAUUGAAACUUGCAUUGCUUUUCAACUUAAUUGAAUACUUACUAUAUGUGAACCACUGCACAAAAUAGGGGAAGAAGAUGUGGGAGACAAAGAUGUGGAGCCUGUCUUCAAUAAAUUUACAGUUAGUUUCAGGGUACAUUGUUUUUCUUCUGCUGUUAAUUAGGUGUAUCCCCAAGACAAUAAAUACAUGAAUGGAAAAGUAUAUUCUGUGUUUUAAGUCUCUUUAAUAAAAAACAAAACAAAAUCCAAAAAAACUCCUAACAUGGCAACUCAGGACAUUUUAAUCCUUUUUUUUGUUGUUGGGCUUCUGAUAGGAUCCAUUUUAUUGAUUCCAUAAAUAUUUAGUAGACUUUAGACAUAUUAAUACAUUGUAGUUUGAGUUAAUUUGCAUUAAAUUCUGUUUUUUUCCCCUUAGGUAUAGAUUGUCUGUUGGAAAAAUAUAUUGCUUGUGGAUUUCUUGGGGAGUGGGAAGGUGAAUUAUACCUGUUGUCUCUACAGUCCACUACCUUCCACACCCUAGGGCAGUGGUCCCCAACCUUCUUGGCACCAGGGAUCAGUUUCCUGGAAGACAAUUUUUCUGUGGAUGGUGUGGGGAUGGUUUUGGGAUGGAACUGUUCCACCUCAGAUCAUCAGGCAUUAGUUAGGCUCUCAUAACGAGUGCGCAGCCUAGAUCCCUCACAUGCACAGUUCACAGUAGGGUUUGCGCUGCUAUGAGAAUCUAAGGCUGCCACUGAUCUGACAGGAGGCAGAACUCAGGUGGCAAUGCUUACUGGCCCACUGCUCACCUCUUGCUGUGCGGCCUGGUUCCUAAUAGGCCAUGGACCCCCACAGACGGGUACUAGUCUGCAGCCUGUGGACCCCAGCCCUAGGGGCCUGCCAUUCUGAGUGAGUUAUUAGCAUGAAGAAGAGGAAGAUCUGGAUCAAACGUGGGUGAUGGUACUCAGAGACCCAAGAUAGGAUAGGGAUGGAACAAAAUCCAUCUGGGCAACGGCUCUAUGAAAAUUUGGCUAAGUAAUUAUUUCAGUAUUCAUUGUAUUCAUUGUCCUUCGUGUUCCAUAAGUUAAAUGACUGUCUAAUUUUUCCAAAAAUUUAUUUCUGACUUGAGAAUAAGUGUGUCAUGAUUUUCCCAGUGUAAAGACACUGAUAUAACUGUAGAUACCAGACAUUUUAUGUAGUGUCUAUGACACAUUUUAGUAUGUAUGAGCCAACAAUAGACAUGUCUUUGUCUUGAGGAGUGUCCAUCUGAAUUGAAAAUGUGUCAGCUUUUUUUUAACAUCAUCAACAGACUUCUUAAUUAAGCUGCCAAUACAUACUGCCAAUAGCACUGUGUGCUGUCUGAGAAAUGCAUUGUGUAAGUGCUAUUUCCAUCUUAUUAAAUAAACAAUGUUGCUCUGUAUAAACUGGAUUUAAAGUGUUCUUUGAAUGAGGCAUUAUAUUGCUCCAUAAAUAAUGUGAUGUGAAUUCUCAUAUGAUCCCUUUUAACUUAAUUUCUAAAAAAAUAUUAUUUGCUCCUCAGUAAGGAAUAGCUCUAAUUGGACUGGUAACUUUAGUGAUAUGAUUUGUCUGUAACAGGCUGAAUCGCCCCACUCCCAAACUCCUGGUCGUGAUACUGGAUAUUUGUUAUGCCACUUUUAGUUUGCAUGAGGUAUCUUCCAGGAAGUAUUAGUUAUUAACUUGUGUUCUACUAAACUGUAGAUAUUUAUUUCCUGUUCUGGAAGAUUUCUUGGAGUGUCCAUCUGUGCAUUCCUGGUGCCUAGUGUAGUCUUGCUAAUGGAAUAGCACCUUUAUUGGUGCUACUUAGGGGUUGGUAGCUUACAAUCAAUCUACUUGGAACGUAUCCAAAUAAACUGGAUAUUUUUAU